rnacentral:rRNA from 1 species
AUUGAACGCUGGCGGCAUGCCUAACACAUGCAAGUCGAACGGAGGUAGGGGCAACCUUACUUCAGUGGCGGACGGGUGAGGAAUGCGUCGGAAUCCACCCUAUGGUGGGGGAUAACACAGGGAAACUUGUGCUAAUACCGCAUAAUGUCGAGAGACCAAAGCAGGGGACCGCAAGGCCUUGCGCGAUAGGAUGAGCCGACGCCCGAUUAGCUUGUUGGUAGGGUAAUGGCCUACCAAGGCGACGAUCGGUAGCUGGUCUGAGAGGAUGAUCAGCCACACUGGGACUGAGACACGGCCCAGACUCCUACGGGAGGCAGCAGUGGGGAAUAUUGGACAAUGGGCGCAAGCCUGAUCCAGCAAUGCCGCGUGUGUGAAGAAGGCCUGCGGGUUGUAAAGCACUUUUGUUCGGGAGGAAAUCAUGUCGGCUAAUACCCGAUGUGGAUGACGGUACCGAAAGAAUAAGCACCGGCUAACUUCGUGCCAGCAGCCGCGGUAAUACGAAGGGUGCAAGCGUUAAUCGGAAUUACUGGGCGUAAAGCGUGCGUAGGCGGCUUCUUAAGUCGGAUGUGAAAUCCCCGGGCUCAACCUGGGAAUGGCAUUCGAUACUGGGGAGCUAGAGUUUGGGAGAGGGUGGUGGAAUUCCCGGUGUAGCGGUGAAAUGCGUAGAGAUCGGGAGGAACAUCAGUGGCGAAGGCGGCCACCUGGCCUAAAACUGACGCUGAGGCACGAAAGCGUGGGGAGCAAACAGGAUUAGAUACCCUGGUAGUCCACGCCCUAAACGAUGAGAACUGGACGUUGGGAGGAAUUUGCCUCUUAGUGUCGAAGCUAACGCGUGAAGUUCUCCGCCUGGGGAGUACGCUCGCAAGAGUG